UUGAAGAGUUUGAUCAUGGCUCAGAUUGAACGCUGGCGGCAGGCCUAACACAUGCAAGUCGAGCGGUAGCACAGAGAGCUUGCUCUCGGGUGACGAGCGGCGGACGGGUGAGUAAUGUCUGGGAAACUGCCUGAUGGAGGGGGAUAACUACUGGAAACGGUAGCUAAUACCGCAUAACGUCGCAAGACCAAAGUGGGGGACCUUCGGGCCUCAUGCCAUCAGAUGUGCCCAGAUGGGAUUAGCUAGUAGGUGGGGUAACGGCUCACCUAGGCGACGAUCCUAGCUGGUCUGAGAGGAUGACCAGCCACACUGGAACUGAGACACGGUCCAGACUCCUACGGGAGGCAGCAGUGGGGAAUAUUGCACAAUGGGCGCAAGCCUGAUGCAGCCAUGCCGCGUGUGUGAAGAAGGCCUUCGGGUUGUAAAGCACUUUCAGCGGGGAGGAAGGCGGUGAGGUUAAUAACCUCAUCGAUUGACGUUACCCGCAGAAGAAGCACCGGCUAACUCCGUGCCAGCAGCCGCGGUAAUACGGAGGUGCAAGCGUUAAUCGGAAUUACUGGGCGUAAAGCGCACGCAGGCGGUCUGUCAAGUCGGAUGUGAAAUCCCGGGCUCAACCGGGAACUGCAUUCGAAACUGGCAGGCUAGAGUCUUGUAGAGGGGGGUAGAAUUCCAGGUGUAGCGGUGAAAUGCGUAGAGAUCUGGAGGAAUACCGGUGGCGAAGGCGGCCCCCUGGACAAAGACUGACGCUCAGGUGCGAAAGCGUGGGGAGCAAACAGGAUUAGAUACCCUGGUAGUCCACGCCGUAAACGAUGUCGAUUUGGAGGUUGUGCCCUUGAGGCGUGGCUUCCGGAGCUAACGCGUUAAAUCGACCGCCUGGGGAGUACGGCCGCAAGGUUAAAACUCAAAUGAAUUGACGGGGGCCCGCACAAGCGGUGGAGCAUGUGGUUUAAUUCGAUGCAACGCGAAGAACCUUACCUGGUCUUGACAUCCACAGAACUUUCCAGAGAUGGAUUGGUGCCUUCGGGAACUGUGAGACAGGUGCUGCAUGGCUGUCGUCAGCUCGUGUUGUGAAAUGUUGGGUUAAGUCCCGCAACGAGCGCAACCCUUAUCCUUUGUUGCCAGCGGUUAGGCCGGGAACUCAAAGGAGACUGCCAGUGAUAAACUGGAGGAAGGUGGGGAUGACGUCAAGUCAUCAUGGCCCUUACGACCAGGGCUACACACGUGCUACAAUGGCAUAUACAAAGAGAAGCGACCUCGCGAGAGCAAGCGGACCUCAUAAAGUAUGUCGUAGUCCGGAUUGGAGUCUGCAACUCGACUCCAUGAAGUCGGAAUCGCUAGUAAUCGUAGAUCAGAAUGCUACGGUGAAUACGUUCCCCGGGCCUUGUACACACCGCCCGUCACACCAUGGGAGUGGGUUGCAAAAGAAGUAGGUAGCUUAACCUUCGGGAGGGCGCUUACCACUUUGUGAUUCAUGACUGGGGUGAAGUCGUAACAAGGUAACCGUAGGGGAACCUGCGGUUGGAUCACCUCCUU
rnacentral:rRNA from 1 species